rnacentral:rRNA from 1 species
UACAGAGACUGCAAGCGUUAUUCGGAUUCACUGGGCGUAAAGGGUGCGCAGGCGGCCAAAUGUGUGAGGCGUGAAAGCCCGGGGCUUAACCCCGGAAUUGCACCUCAAACUAUUUGGCUAGAGCAUUGGAGAGGGUAGCAGAAUUCACGGUGUAGCAGUGAAAUGCGUAGAUAUCGUGAGGAAUACCAGAGGCGAAGGCGGCUACCUGGACAAUUGCUGACGCUCAGGCACGAAAGCGUGGGGAGCAAAAGGGAUUAGAUACCCCUGUAGUCCACGCCCUAAACGGUGCACACUAGGUCUUGGCGGAUUCGACCCCACCAGGGCCCAAGCUAACGCGUUAAGUGUGCCGCCUGAGGACUACGGUCGCAAGACUA